CCUACGGGAGGCAGCAGUGGGGAAUAUUGCGCAAUGGGCGAAAGCCUGACGCAGCGACGCCGCGUGAGGGAUGAAGGUCUUCGGAUCAUAAACCUCUGUCAGCAGGGAAGAACGGUCACUGUGCUAAUCAGCAGUGAAUUGACGGUACCUGCAAAGGAAGCACCGGCUAACUCCGUGCCAGCAGCCGCGGUAAUACGGAGGGUGCGAGCGUUAAUCGGAAUUACUGGGCGUAAAGCGCUCGUAGGCGGUAUGUCAAGUCAAGGGUGAAAUCCCCGCGCUCAACGUGGGAACUGCCUUUGAAGCUGGCAAACUGGAGUGUGUGAGAGGAUAGUGGAAUUCCAGGUGUAGGAGUGAAAGCCGUAGAUAUCUGGAGGAACAUCAGUGGCGAAGGCGACUAUCUGGCACAUAACUGACGCUGAGGAGCGAAAGCGUGGGUAGCAAACAGGAUUAGAUACCCUAGUAGUC
rnacentral:rRNA from 1 species